UUACACUACUAUUUCAGGUUGGGGUGGAGGUUGGCGCCUGUUAAAACGUAUAAACCCUUCACUUGUUUGCACCUGUCCUAAGUCAGGAACCUGCUUCAGUGGUUAUCGUUUGUUGAUGUGGUUCUUGAGUGUGUCUCGUUUCUCAUUUUUUAUAUAGAUUAGACCUAUGGUUUUCCUGUUUGAAUUGUUUUUAUACGACCGCAAAAAAAAUUUUGUGGUCGUAUAUUGGUAUGACGUUGUCGUUGUCGUCGUCGUCGUUGUCGUCGUCCGAAGACACAUUGGUUUUCGCACUCUAACUUUAGUUUAAGUGAAUGGAUCUCUAUGAAAUUUUACCACAAGGUUCAAUACCACAAAAGGAAGGUUGGGAUUGUUUUUGGGGGUUAUGGUACCAACAGUUAAGGAAUUAGGGGCCAAAAAGGGGCCAAAAAUAAGCAUUUUUAUACGACCGCAAAAAUUGAAAAUUUUUUGGUCGUAUAUUGGUAUGACGUUGGCGUCGUCGUCGUCGUCGUCGUCGUCGUCUGGCGUCGUCCGGCGUCGUCCGAAGACACAUUGGUUUUCGCACUCUAACUUUAGUUUAAGUGAAUGGAUCUCCUUGAAAUUUUACCAUAAGGUUCAAUACCACGAAAGAAAGGUUGGGAUUGAUUUUGGGGGUUAUGGUACCAACAGUUAAGGAAUUAGGGGCCAAAAAGGGGCCAAAAAUAAGCAUUUUUGUAACUUCCAGACAAUAACUUGUGUGUAAGUGUAUGGAUCUCUCUGACAUUGUACCAAAAGGUUCCAUAUCACAAAGGGAAGGCUGUAAUUGAUUUUGGGGGUAAUUGCCUCAAAAUUUUAGGAAUUAGGGGCCAAAAAAGGGGCAAAAAACAAGCAUUUUUCUAGUUUCAUGACAAUAACUUGUGUGUAAGUGUUUGGAUAUUUCUGAAAUUGUACUACAAGGUUCCAUAUCACAAAGGGAAAGCUGGAAUUGAGUUUGGGGGUAAUUGCCUGAAACGUUUAGGAAUUGGGGGCCAAAAAGGGGCCAAAAAUAAGCAUUUUUCUAGUUUCCAGACAAUAACUUGUGUUCAAGUGUAUGGAUCUCUCUGAAAUUGUACUGCAAGGUACCAUACCACAAAGGGAAGGCUGGGAUUGAGUUUGGGGGUGAUGAAUCAUAAGGGGUUCAAAAAAUUUGGGGGGGGGGGAUUUUUUUUUUUUUUCUUUCUUUUUUUUUCUUUUUUUCCUUUUUUUUUUUCUUUUAAAAUUUUCCAUUUUAAGUUGGUUAUUUCUGAUUAAUAUUUAAAAGCAAAUAAUAAUGAUAUGGUAGGAGAUACACACCAAACAGGAUGUGUAAAUUAUUAUAUAAUAAGUAUUGUGCAAUAGCAAGAAAUUUUCAAUUGCACAGUAUUGCACAAUUGCAAGAAAUCUUCAAUUGCACAGUAUUGCGCAAUAGCAAGAAAUCUUCAAUUGCACAGUAUUGCGCAAUAGCAAGAAAUAUCCAAUAGCACAAUAUUGCGCAAUAGCAAGAAAUUGUCAAUUGUACAGUAUUGCACAAUAGCAAGAAAUAUUCAAUUGCACAGUAUUGUGCAAAAGAAGAUACUUCGUAUAAAUUGCUUAUUUCUUGAUCAAUUUCAAUGGGGUUUUAUUCUUGAAUUCUUGGGGUUCUUUAAUAUGCUGAAUCUAACCGUGUAUUAAGUUUUUGGAUUUUGGGCCCCGUUUUUAAAUUGGUCCACAUUGAGGUCCAAAGGGUCCAAAAUUUAACUUUGUUUGAUUUCAUCAAAAAUUGAAUUAUUGGGGUUCUUUGAUAUGCCGAAUCUAACCGUGUAUUUAGAUUCUUAAUUUUUGGUUCCGUUUUCAAAUUGGUCUACAUUAAGGUCAAAAGGGUCCAAAAUUAAACUUAGUUUGAUUUUAACAAAAAUUGAAUUUUUAGGGUUCUUUGAUAUGCUGAAUCUAAACAUGUAUUUAGAUUUUUGAUUAUGGGCCCAGUUUUCAAGUUGGUCCAAAUCGGGGUCCAAAAUUAAACUUUGUUUGAUUUCAACAAAAAUUGAAUAUAUGGGGUUCUUUGAUAUGCUGAAUCUAACCAUGUAUUUAGAUUUUUAUUUUUGGGCCCCGUUAUCAACUUUGUCCACAUUGAGGUCAAAAGGGUCCAAAAUUAAACUUUGUUUGAUUUCAUUAAAAAUUGAAUAUAUGGGGUUCUUUGAUAUGCUGAAUCUAAACAUGUAUUUAGAUUUUAGAUUUUUGGCCCAGUUUUCAAGUUGGUCCAAAUUGGGGUCCAAAAUUAAACUUUGUUUGAUUUCAACAAAAAUUGAAUAUAUGGGGUUCUUUGAUAUGCUGAAUCUAACCAUGUAUUUAGAUUUUUGAUUUUUGGGCCCCGUUAUCAACUUUGUCCACAUUGACGUCAAAAGGGUCCAAAAUUAAACUUUGUUUGAUUUCAUCAAAAAUUGAAUUCUUGGGGUUCUUUGAUAUGCUGAAUCUAACCAUGUAUUUAGAUUUUUUAUUUGUGGACCCGCUAUCAAAUUGGUUCAUAUUGAGGUCAAAAGGGUCCAAAAUUAAACUUUGUUUGAUUUCAUCAAAAAUUGAAUUAUUGGGGUUCUUUGAUAUGCCAAAUCUAACCGUGUAUUUAGAUUUUUAAUUUUGGGUCCCAUUUUUAAAUUGGUCUACAUUAAGGUCCAAAGGGUCCAAAAUUAAACUUAGUUUGAUUUUAACAAAAAUUGAAUUCUUGGGGUUCUUUGAUAUGCUGAAUCUAAACAUGUGUUUAGAAUUUUGAUUAUGGGCCCAGUUUUCAAGUUUGUCCAAGUUGGGGUCCAAAAUUAAACUUUGUUUGAUUUCAACAAAAAUUGAAUAUAUGGGGUUCUUUGAUAUGCUGAAUCUAAACAUGUAUUUAGAUUUUAGAUUUUUGGCCCAGUUUUCAAGUUGGUCCAAAUUGGGGUCCAAAAUUAAACUUUGUUUGAUUUCAACAAAAAUUGAAUAUAUGGGGUUCUUUGAUAUGCUGAAUCUUACCAUGUAUUUAGAUUUUUUAUUUGUGGACCCGCUAUCAAAUUGGUUCAUAUUGAGGUCAAAAGGGUCCAAAAUUAAACUUUGUUUGAUUUCAUCAAAAAUUGAAUUAUUGGGGUUCUUUGAUAUGCCAAAUCUAACCGUGUAUUUAGAUUUUUAAUUUUGGGUCCCGUUUUUAAAUUGGUCUACAUUAAGGUCCAAAGGGUCCAAAAUUAAACUUAGUUUGAUUUUAACAAAAAUUGAAUUCUUGGGGUACUUUGAUAUGCUGAAUCUAAACAUGUGUUUAGAUUUUUGAUUAUGGGACCAGUUUUCAAGUUGGUCCAAGUUGGGGUCCAAAAUUAAACUUUGUUUGAUUUCAACAAAAAUUGAAUAUAAGGGGUUCUUUGAUAUGCUGAAUCUAACCAUGUAUUUUGAUUUUGGACAUUGGACCAUAAUAGGUAAAUUAAAAAAAUUGAAGUUCUUAGACCACAUUCUUUCUGUGUCAGAAACCUAUGCUGUGUCAAAUAUUUAAUCACAAUCCAAAUUCAGAGCUGUAUCAAGCUUGAAUGUUGUGUCCAUACUUGCCCCAACUGUUCAGGGUUCGACCUCUGCGGUCGUAUCAAGCUGCGCCCAGCGAAGCAUUUUAUUCUAGUUUGCAGACAAUAACUUGUGUUCAAGUGUAUGGAUCUCUCUGAAAUUGUACUGCAAGGUACCAUACCACAAAGGGAAGGCUGGGAUUGAUGAUGGGGGUAAUUGCCUCAAUAUUUUAGGAAUUAGGGGCCAAAAAGGGGCAAAAAACAAGCAUUUUUCUAGUUUCAGGACAAUAACUUGUGUGUAAGUGUAUGGAUCUUUCUGAAAUUGUACUACAAGGUUCCAUAUCACAAAGGGAAAGCUGGGUUUGAGUUUGGGGGUAAUUGCCCUAAAUGUUUAGGAAUUGGGGGCCAAAAAGGGGCCAAAAAACACAUUUUUCUAGUUUCCAGACAAUAACUUGUGUUCAAGUGUAUGGAUCUCUCUGAAAUUGUACUGCAAGGUACCAUACCACAAAGGAAAGGCUGGGAUUGAGUUUGGGGGUGAUGAAUCAUAAGGGGGUUCAAAAAAUUUGGGGGGGAUUUUUUUUUUUUUUUCCUUUUUUUUUUCUUUUAAAAUUUUCCAUUUUAAGUUGGUUAUUUCUGAUUUAUAUUUAAAAGCAAAUAAUAAUGAUAUGGUAGGAGAUACACACCAAACAGGAUGUGUAAAUUAUUAUAUAAUAAGUAUUGUGCAAUAGCAAUAAAUUUUCAAUUGCACAGUAUUGCACAAUAGCAAGAAAUCAUCAAUUGCACAGUAUUGCGCAAUAGCAUGAAAUCUUCAAUUGCACAGUAUUGCACAAUAGCAAGAAAUAUCCAAUAGCACAAUAUUGCGCAAUAGCAAGAAAUUGUCAAUUGUACAGUAUUGCGCAAUAGCAAGAAAUAUUUAAUUGCACAGUAUUGUGCAAAAGAAGAUACUUCGUAUAAAUUGCUUAUUUCUUGACCAAUUUCAAUGGGGUUUUAUUCUUGAAUUCUUGGGGUUCUUUAAUAUGCUGAAUCUAACCGUGUAUUUAGUUUUUGUAUUUUGGGCCCCGUUUUAAAAUUGGUCCACAUUGAGGUCCAAAGGGUCCAAAAUUAAACUUUGUUUGAUUUCAUCAAAAAUUGAAUUAUUGGGGUUCUUUGAUAUGCCGAAUCUAACCGUGUAUUUAGAUUCUUAAUUUUUGGUUCUGUUUUCAAAUUGGUCUACAUUAAGGUCCAAAGGGUCCAAAAUUAAACUUAGGGUUCUUUGAUAUGCUGAAUCUAAACAUGUAUUUAGAUUUUUGAUUAUGGGCCCAGUUUUCAAGUUGGUCCAAAUCGGGGUCCAAAAUUAAACUUUGUUUGAUUUCAACAAAAAUUGAACAUACGGGGUUCUUUGAUAUGCUGAAUCUAACCAUGUAUUUAGAUUUUUGAUUUUUGGGCCCUGUUAUCAACUUUGUCCACAUUGAGGUCAAAAGGGUCCAAAAUUAAACUUUGUUUGAUUUCAUCAAAAAUUGAAUUCUUGGGGUUCUUUGAUAUGCUGAAUCUAACCAUGUAUUUAGAUUUUUGAUUUUUGGGCCCUGUUAUCAACUUUGUCCACAUUGAGGUCAAAAGGGUCCAAAAUUAAACUUUGUUUGAAUUCAUCAAAAAUUGAAUUCUUGGGGUUCUUUGAUAUGCUGAAUCUAACCAUGUAUUUAGAUUUUGGAUAUUGGACCAUAAUAGGUGAAUGUCCAAUUUAAAAUUUUAAGUUCUUAGACCACAUUAAUUCUGUGUCAGAAACCUAUGCUGUGUCAAAUAUUUAAUCACAAUCCAAAUGCAAAGCUGUAUCAAGCUUGAAUGUUGUGUCCAUACUUGCCCCAACUGUUCAGAGUUCGACCUCUGCGGUCGUAUCAAGCUGCGCCCUGCGGAGCAUUUUAUUUUCAUCAUGCUUGAAGAUAUUGAUUGAUAAUUGGUAUAUAGUUUUAUCAUGUCAAGUUAUACAAAUCAAGUUCGAAAUUUUGUUUCGGUCUGAUAAUUUUGUGCAGAGUUAUGGUCCUUGGACUUGAAAAAUUCAUUCAUUUAAUCAGUUUUCCACCCUGUUUUUAGUCAUGCUUGAAGAUAUUGACUUGAUAUUUUCUUUUUGUUUACACCAUGACAAGUUAUAGAACAAGUUAGCUUUUUGUUCCAGUAUAAUGAAUUUUUACCCGGUAGGGGACUAUGUAUUGCCAUGCAAUACUAUCAGAAUGCUAGUUACUACAUGAUACAGAUCAAGUUUGAAUUUUGGUGGUGUCACUUUAACAGUUCCAGAGUUAUGCCCCUUUACAAAUGGAAAAAUGCUGAAUUUUUCGUUUCCGUUCUCCAACUUAAGUUUGCCUCAACCAAAUGUUAUGAAACUUAUACUAUUACCACAAAAUUCAGAUCAAGUACAAAUUUGGGUAGCGUCACUUUUACCGUUCUUCAGUUAUGUCCCUUUAUAACUUUAUAUGAUAUGCAAGCGGGGGCAUCAUCUGUGUCCCGUGGACACAUUCCCCAUUUAUCUCUUAUGAAACUACCGAACCAAACAUAGGAUGACUUUAAAAGGCGUUAUGAUCCUUAAAUGACGAUGAGUUUGUCACUUAUCUCAAGAAGUAUAAAAUAGAGAUAAAAAUUGAAAACAGCAAAAAUGAUCAGCAAUACAAGAUAUACAAAAAGCCAAUAUGAGUUAACCAUUUAUAGU